AUUGAACGCUGGCGGCAGGCCUAACACAUGCAAGUCGAGCGGAUGAAGGGAGCUUGCUCCUGGAUUCAGCGGCGGACGGGUGAGUAAUGCCUAGGAAUCUGCCUGGUAGAGGGGUUAACGGCCGGAAACGGGCGCUAAUACCGCAAACGUCCUGAGGGAGGAAGUGGGGGAUCUUCGGGCCUCACGCACGUAGAUGAGCCUAGGUCGGAUUAGCUAGUUGGUGGGGUAAAGGCCUACCAAGGCGACGAUCCGUAACUGGUCUGAGAGGAUGAUCAGUCACACUGGAACUGAGACACGGUCCAGACUCCUACGGGAGGCAGCAGUGGGGAAUAUUGGACAAUGGGCGAAAGCCUGAUCCAGCCAUGCCGCGUGUGUGAAGAAGGUCUUCGGAUUGUAAAGCACUUUAAGUUGGGAGGAAGGGCAGUAAGUUAAUACCUUGCUGUUUUGACGGUACCAACAGAAUAAGCACCGGCUAACUUCGUG
rnacentral:rRNA from 1 species